GAAUUUGUGUUAUUUUUACUUAAUUUGCCAGCACUGACAACACAUCGGGGAGGGGAGGCAGGUUCACACAUCUGGGGAAUAGCUCAGUUCCUAUAAUCUGAGCUGCUCAGGAAGGAUAUUUGAGGCUCGUAUCCCACUCUGUGUGGAUAUAUGGGAUUUGUUUCCCCCUCGGGUUGCAUGUAUGGGAUUUAUAACCCCCUUGGGGUGGACAGAUGGGAUUUAUAUUUCCCUCUAGUUGGAUAUAUGUAAUUUAGAUCUCCCCAGGUGGAUAGAUGGGAUUUAUAUCCCUAUGGAAAUUCUUUUCCUAUUUAAAAUUAAUAAUGAAUGAAUGUUUCUCUAUUGAAGCUUUUCUCCUGGAAAAUGAUCCUUGAAGAGAGCCUGUGAGCCACUGAUAUCCCUCAUGCCCAGGCGGGACAAUUGUGGGACAAGCAGUUGGUUGGAAAUCUCACUGCUGUGUGAUCCUGAACCAUUUUCCGGGGCGUUCUUGGCUUUUCUCGAUCCACCUUGAUGGCAGCACCAAGCCAGGAGGUGGCACUGCCAGGCAGCGCGUCCGGUCCCGCUCUGAACCCGCCUCCAGCCUUUCAGAAUCCGAGGAAACAGGAAAGGCCUGAAGGAUUGCUGAGCUGCUCUCACCAAAACCUUCAGCCACAAAAUCUCAGCAGUUCCAGAACAGAGACGACGCCUCAUGGAGAGGAUUUAUUUCAUCAUCAACACCUG